rnacentral:rRNA from 1 species
UACGGAGGUGGCAAGCGCUGUUCGGAUUCAUUGGGCGUAAAGGGUCCGUAGGCGGCCCGGAAAGUCGGAUGUGAAAUCCCACAGCUCAACUGUGGAACGGCAUUCGAAACUUCCAGGCUCGAGCGCAGGAGGGGUGAAGGGAAUUCCCGGUGUAAGGGUGAAAUCUGCAGAGAUCGGGAGGAACACCAGUCGCGAAGGCGCUUCACUGGCCUGCCGCUGACGCUCAGGGACGAAAGCCAGGGGAGCAAACGGGAUUAGAAACCCGGGUAGU